UAAAGCCCUUUCUUUUUACAGAUCAGAACUCAGAUCUGGGUGUUAAAUGGCUCAUGGCUGCAGUCACACAUCUGAACGGGGAUGACAUGGGGUUAAAACCCAUUCACCCUCCUGGGAGAGUCUGAGGUGAUACGGUCCCCACUCAGAGAGCAACGGCUCAGCCCAGAAAAAGGUACCAACCCAUCACCCAUUAUGCGCUGCCGGACAGUGGUGUCCCUGCCUCUGGUGACGCUGUCCCUCACCCUGGGGAGGUGUCCCUGCCGUUGAUCUUCCAUCCCUGGAUCCAAGGUCCUGCCCAGGUCAGGACCUGCAGGGCAACUCUGAACACAGGAGGCCGGCUGCCUCCACACCCACUCCUGACUCUCAAAGGCAGCUUCUCAUGUCCCCAGAGCAGGGGAGACGCAGCGGUGGGAGGGGCUGUGCCCGGAAAUCGCUCCCUCUCCCUCGUUUGCCCAUAGUCUUCGUUGUGAAUAGGCGUUGGGUUUUAGCAAAUGCUCUUCUCUUCUAAUCUGUUAAUAAACGGAAUCAGCUGAAUCGA